ACGUUAGCGGCGGACGGGUGAGUAACACGUGGGUAACCUACCUAUAAGACUGGGAUAACUUCGGGAAACCGGAGCUAAUACCGGAUAAUAUUUCGAACCGCAUGGUUCGAUAGUGAAAGAUGGUUUUGCUAUCACUUAUAGAUGGACCCGCGCCGUAUUAGUCUAGUUGGUAAGGUAACGGCUUACCAAGGCGACGAUACGUAGCCGACCUGAGAGGGUGAUCGGCCACACUGGAACUGAGACACGGUCCAGACUCCUACGGGAGGCAGCAGCU
rnacentral:rRNA from 1 species